rnacentral:rRNA from 1 species
GAUGAACGCUGGCGGCGUGCCUAAUACAUGCAAGUCGAGCGAACGGACGAGGAGCUUGCUUUUCUGACGUUAGCGGCGGACGGGUGAGUAACACGUGGAUAACCUACCUAUAAGACUGGGAUAACUUCGGGAAACCGGAGCUAAUACCGGAUAAUAUUUUGAACCGCAUGGUUCAAUAGUGAAAGACGGUUUUGCUGUCACUUAUAGAUGGAUCCGCGCUGCAUUAGCUAGUUGGUAAGGUAACGGCUUACCAAGGCAACGAUGCAUAGCCGACCUGAGAGGGUGAUCGGCCACACUGGAACUGAGACACGGUCCAGACUCCUACGGGAGGCAGCAGUAGGGAAUCUUCCGCAAUGGGCGAAAGCCUGACGGAGCAACGCCGCGUGAGUGAUGAAGGUCUUCGGAUCGUAAAACUCUGUUAUUAGGGAAGAACAAAUGUGUAAGUAACUGUGCACGUCUUGACGGUACCUAAUCAGAAAGCCACGGCUAACUACGUG